UACAGAGGGUGCGAGCGUUAAUCGGAAUUACUGGGCGUAAAGCGUGCGCAGGCGGUUUUGUAAGACAGGUGUGAAAUCCCCGGGCUUAACCUGGGAACUGCAUUUGUGACUGCAAGGCUGGAGUGCGGCAGAGGGGGAUGGAAUUCCGCGUGUAGCAGUGAAAUGCGUAGAUAUGCGGAGGAACACCGAUGGCGAAGGCAAUCCCCUGGGCCUGCACUGACGCUCAUGCACGAAAGCUAGGGGAGCAAACAGG
rnacentral:rRNA from 1 species